rnacentral:misc_RNA from 1 species
GUGCAGUGGAAAGAUAAGUUUUUCAAAAGAGAAUAAGACGAAAUAAUAAAGUUAAUCUCCCAUCCCUUUUAAGCAGCCUCGUUUUCCUAUGUUUAUACGCGGUGAUUUGUUUUUUCUUGAUGCAUACUUGUAUAUAACGGAUCUUAAUGGAUGCAUAUCCCCACCCCAUUGAACUAUCUACUCUACCUCUCUCUGUGGCUGUGUGCGACAUGAAGCAUUCUAUGCGUCUAUUUUCAGCACUUUCCCUCCUCCUCCUGCUGCUUGUGGCCGCUGAGAUGGGGCCAAUGAUGGCGGAGGGCAGAACAUGCGAAUCUCAAAGCCAUAAGUUCAAGGGAAUAUGUUUGAGCGACACUAACUGCGCUUCCGUUUGCAAAACGGAAGGGUUCACUGGAGGAGACUGUAAAGGUGCACGUCGUCGCUGCUUCUGCACUAAGAAAUGUACCUAGUCUACGAUAUCAGAUUAAAGUGGACUCAAGAGCAGAAUCUCUAAAAUUUACUGGGAAUGUGUGUGCUUGAGAAUAAUUAUAAGAAGAUUAUCUUAUGGUGGUGUCGUGUUAGUUUGUCUUUAACCGAUGCUUAAUUAUCUCUAAAUUGUAAUAACCUUAAUUAUCUUGGCUUGGCUUGGAUAAUUAAUGUCUUUCUGAGCAUAUAACUUCUCUCUUUCUCUCCUUAAUCUUUUAUUUUUCAACCUCCUCCAUAGAUCUAAUCAUAUCAUA